UACGAGGGGGGCGAGCGUUAUUCGGAAUUAUUGGGCGUAAAGAGCUCGUAGGCGGUUUGUCGCGUCUGGUGUGAAAAUCCAGGGCUUAACCCUGGACCUGCAUCGGGUACGGGCAGACUAGAGUGCGGUAGGGGAGAUCGGAAUUCCUGGUGUAGCGGUGAAAUGCGCAGAUAUCAGGAGGAACACCGGUGGCGAAGGCGGAUCUCUGGGCCGUAACUGACGCUGAGGAGCGAAAGCAUGGGGAGCGAACAGG
rnacentral:rRNA from 1 species